GGCACAGGUUUAGAGACUGAAGUCCUCUCUCCACAAGGCAGGUAUGACAUUGGUAACAGAAGUGCCAGCUUCCUACACUGCCGUACCAAUGUGCCUCAACCUUUACCUGGGAGGUGUGGGGAAAUACUUGACUCUCCAGCCUUGGCUUCUCUACAGAG
rnacentral:sRNA from 1 species